rnacentral:rRNA from 16 species
GUGAGAAUGAUGACAUGAGUAGCGACAAACAGGGUGAGAGACCCUGUCGCCGAAAGUCCAAGGGUUCCUGCUUAAAGCUAAUCUGAGCAGGGUAAGCCGACCCCUAAGGCGAGGCCGAAAGGCGUAGUCGAUGGGAACCAGGUUAAUAUUCCUGGGCCAGCCAGUAGUGACGGAUCGUGAAGGUUGUUCACCCUUAUUGGAUUGGGUGGGCCGCUAAUCGGUUCCUGGAAAUAGCUCUGGCAUAAGAUCGUACCCUAAACCGACACAGGUGGACUGGUAGAGAAUACCAAGGCGCUUGAGAGAACGAUGUUGAAGGAACUCGGCAAAAUACCUCCGUAAGUUCGCGAGAAGGAGGCCCGGUUCCUAGGCAACUAGGGGCUGGGGGCACAAACCAGGGGGUGGCGACUGUUUACUAAAAACACAGGGCUCUGCGAAGUCGCAAGACGACGUAUAGGGUCUGACGCCUGCCCGGUGCCUGAAGGUUAAAAGGAGGAGUGCAAGCUCCGAAUUGAAGCCCAGGUAAACGGCGGCCGUAACAAUAACGGUCCUAAGG